CCUAAUAGGAAAUUAAGAGUAGAUGGUGGAUGCCUAGACUCUAAAAAGCGAUGAAGGACGCGGCAUGGCAGCGAUACGCUUCGGGAAGGUGCCUAGCAACCUAUGAUCCGAAGAUUUCCGAAUGGGGAAACCUAAUCUUGGUUAUACGAGAUUGUCGGCGAUUAAUCGUCCGAUGCAAACCCCGGGAAGUGAAACAUCUCAGUACCGGGAGGAAAAUAAACUAAUCAGCAUUUCCUUAGUAGCGGCGAGCGAAAAGGAAGAAGCCCAAACCCGUAUGCACCUCACUAGGCGUGAGUCGCAUAAAUUAAAAAUUAAAAAUUUAAAAUGAAAAAUUGUGGUGUCCGCAAAGCGGACUCAGUAUUUUUUAUCUUUGAUUUUUACAUUUUGAUUUUGAGCAAACUCGCGAUUAGCGAGGUGCGUAUGGGGGUUGUAAGAUAGUAACGUAGUUUACUAGAAGAGUGAUAAAAUAUUUCAUUAGAUGAAAUUGCUGGGAAGCAAUACCAAAGAAGGUAAUGGUCCUGUAGUCGAAAAUGGAAUGUCUCUUUUGUUACUAAUCUUGAGUACUUCGAGGAAUGAUAGCCUUGAGGGAAACAGGCGCCACUAAGCGCCAAGGCUAAAUAUUUUUAGAGAUCGAUAGUGAACUAGUACCGUGAGGGAAAGGUGAAAAGUAACCCGAGAGGGCGUUGAAAUAGAUCCUGAAACCAUCUACUUACAAGGAAUCGGAGCCCCGCCCUCUUUAUUCAUAAAAAAUUUGGGAGGACAUUAAGAAAAUAAUAUUCUUUUUGUUUGAAUAAAUUAUUUUGUGGGGAAAGAGGGCGGGGUGACGGUGUGCCUAUUGAAGAAUGAGCCAACGAGUUUAUGCGUACUGCUCGAUUAAUCCGCGCUGGCGGGUAGUCACAGGGAAACCGAGUAUUAAUAGUGCGUCUCCUUGCUUUUUAACUGCGUCCUCGUAGCUUUGAGGAUGGAGUUAAGAAGCUUGGUAGGUAGUCCGCAUAAGACCCGAAGCCAGAUGAGCUUGCCAUGAGCAGGGUGAACCCAACAGAAAUGUUGGAGGAGGCCCGAACCGUUUAGCCGUGCAAUACUUUCGGAUGACUUGUGGUAAGGAGUGAAAAGCUAAUCGAAUCUGGUAAUAGCUGGUUCUCUCCGAAAUAGCUUUAGGGCUAGCGUUUGAUGUAUCUUGCGGGGGUAGAGCACUGGAAGAGUUGAAUAGGGAGCAAUCUCGUCAAUUCUAUCAAACUCCGAAUACCGUAAGUAAUUAUCAGGCAGUAAGACUACGGGCGCUAAGGUCCGUUGGUCUAAAGGGAAACAGCCCAGACCCACAGCUAAGGUCCCUAAAUUUACGCUAAGUGCACUUAAGGAGGUUAAAUUUCUCUGACAAUGAGGAUGUUGGCUUAGAAGCAGCCAUCAUUAAAAGAAAGCGUAACAGCUCACUCAUCAAGAGAUUUUGCACCGCAGAUAAUCGGGGCUAAGCGUAGUACCGAAGCUUGGGAUUUAUAAACUUCGUUGAAGUUUAUGAGUGGUAGGAGAGUGUUUUGCGCCGCUGUGAAGAUCCACCGUGAGGUUUGGGUUGGAGCGCGCAGAAGUAAGAAUGUUGGCACAAGUAACCACAAUCAGAGUGAGAUCCUCUGACGCCGAAAGACUAAGGUUUCCUUGGCCAUGGUGAUCAUCCAAGGGUUAGUCGGUCCUUAGGCAAUGGCGAAAGCCGAAGCUGAUGGACACACGGUUAAUAUUCCGUGACUUUUAUUUGGAUUGAUGGAGGGACGGAGUUCAGUAUGUCAAGCGUAUUAUUGGAUUUAUGUUUGCUUAAUCAGGUUGUUUGUUAGGUAAAUCCGGCAAGCUGUUUUUAAUAACGAAACCAAGUUAAGUGAAAAUCCGGCGGGAAACCAAAGGAAAUUUGACAAAGCGAGCUUCCAAGAAAAACUUCUAAAAUUAUGCAAAUAGAAACCGUACCACAAACCGACACAGGUAGUCAGCUCGAGAAGAGUAAGGCGAACGAGUGAGAGAUCCUCAAGGAACUCGGCAAAAAAGCGGCCGUAAGUUCGCGAUAAGGCCUUCCCGCCCUCUUUCCUCAGGAAGGAGGCGGAGGCAAAAUAAAGUUUUGUCUGUCCAAUUUUUUCACGUUAUUAAUUCGUGGGGAGAGAGGGCGGGACGCAGCUAAAGUAUCCCUGGCGACUGUUUAUCAAAAACACAGCUCCCUGCAAACUCGCAAGAGGAAGUAUAGGGGGUGACGCCUGACCAAUGCCAGAAGGUCAAACAUGAAUGGUGAAAGCCGUAAGGCUGGAGCUGAUUAUGUAAGCCCUGGUGAAUGUCGGCGAUAACUAUAAUCGUCCUAAGGUUUUCGGUUGGUUCCAACCGAACAAAUCGAAAAGAAUUGGGACGAUUGUAGUGAGUGGACAAGGAUGAAAACAAUGCGCUACCUUAAUAAAAUCUAGCCAAAUGCUGGAAUAUCUGUGGGUAAAACCCUGAAGAACCGAAGAUACUAUGGUAUAAUUAUUCCUUAUGAAUAAGAUACCAAGUAAAAAUUCUACCGGUGCAGACAAUCAGCAGGAAAGAUUAGAAAUUGAGUCUUGGAUAACUGGUUUUACUGAUGGUGAAGGAUGUUUCUCAGUUUGUUUUAUUAAAAAUAAAACAGCUAAAAGUGGUUGGCAGAUUUUUCCCGAGUUUGUAAUAACUCAAGGAGAAAAAAGCUUACCUGCCCUGAAGAUUUUUCAAAAAUAUUUUCAGAGUGGAAACAUUUAUAUCAAUAAACGAUAUGAUAAUCAUACUGAGAAUUUGUAUCGUUAUUGUAUUCGUUCCAUCGAUGAAUUAAAUAAAAAAGUUAUCCCUUUCUUUCAGAAGCAUCAUUUAAAGACUUUCAAAAAUAACGAUUUUGUUAUUUUUGCUAAGAUUGUAAAAAUGAUGUCUGAACAAAAACAUUUAUCUCCUAAUGGAGCGAUUAGAAUCGCCAAAUUAGUGGAAAAAAUGAAUCGAAAGAAAGCUUCUCGAUUUCUAAAAUCCUCAGAGACUAUACGCUAGAGUCACCAUUUUAUGGGUGAUAAGAUAUAGUCCGAACUUUAUGGCGACAUAAAGAGAUGGAUAGAAAUAGUCCAUCCCCGUUGCAAAUUGAGAAUAGUGUAUUCUUUCCGCGUUGAUCCGCGUUAAGUCUGCGUUAAUCUGCGUUUGUUGCGGAGCAACAAAAUGAGCGCAAUUCCUUGUCGGGUAAGUUCCGACGUGCACGAAUGGCGUAACGACCGGGGAACUGUCUCGAGGAUUUGCUCGGUGAAAAUACAGUGGGGGUGAAGAUGCCCUCUACCUGCAGUUAGACGAAAAGACCCCAGAAGCUUUACUAUAGCUUGAUAUUGAGUAUACGUUUUUCCUGCGUAGCAUAGAUGGGAGAGAUUGAAGAGACGGUUUCGGCUGUCUUGGACUCGUCAGUGAAAUACCAUUCUUGAACGAUGUAUAUUCUAAUUACCACGGCAAAAACGUGGUGAGACAGUAUCUGGUAGGUAGUUUUAUUGGGGCGAUAUCCUCCUAAAAAGUAACGGAGGAGCCUAUUAAGGUUCUCUAGGCGCGAAUGGAAACCGUGCCGAUAGUGUAAUGGCAAAAGAGAGCUUGACUGUAAGGCGUGCAUGCCAAGCAGGUGCGAAAGCAGAGCAUAGUGAACCGACGGCUCGUAUUAGACGCGGCCGAAGNNNNNNNNCUCGAUGUCGGCUCAUCUUAUCCUGGGGCUGGAGAAGGUCCCAAGGGUUUGGCUGUUCGCCAAUUAAAAAGAUACGCGAGCUGGGUUCAAACCGUUGAUGCGCUGAAGCGCAUUGCGAUAUUAAUGAUACGAAUCUACAUAUGAAAUAAUACAAAUGAAGAUUCGGCGCAUGAACAGUUUGAACCCACAUCGAAAUUUUCGUUUAUGAAAUAAAUGAUAGAAACAACCAUAUUACGGCGGUUAUACAUAGCAAUAUGUGUAAAGAAGCUGACUAAUAUCGGUAAAACCCGACUAUACAAUAUAAGGGUAAUACCGAGGGAAGUUUGUGAAUUUUGUUGAGGAGGGUGAAAGGUGAAAUUGGGGAUUAGCCGGCAGGCGGCUCCCAACACCGUCCAUUUUGAAAGCCUCAUGGCUUGAAAAAGACUUGGGACGCUCGCGCGUCGCACUGACUACAUAUCAGAUCUUUUUCCCUAAUGGAGAUUUCCUUCCUCUUCUCUAUAAAAUUCAUAAACACCCGUAGAGACUAAAUGUUAGCCAUCCUUAAUUUUUAAGGAUGAAGUUAUAGUCCAAUCCACUUAGUAAUAAGUGACAAGGUGCGUGAGACAGGUUGGUCUCCUAUCUACUGCAGGCGUUGACAAUUGAAGGGAUUUGUUCCUAGUAAGUAAUUGCUACUUUCAUGAGUAAUCAUGAUUGAAAAUGCUGCUCAUAACGGUGAAGCCUUCAUAUGAUUUUGGUUUGAGAAUUGUAACCCUUUCGGUCUCUGUGUUACAAUUUGCUUGAGGACCAGAAUCCUCUUUAAGGUAAUACCGUGGGAAGUCGAUCUAAAAUUGAAUUAGCAUACAUUGCCGGUUUUCUUGAUGGCGAUGGGAGCUUAAUGCUCCAAAUCAAAAAGCGGACAGAUAGCCAAGUCGGUCUCCGAUUUAUGGCUACGAUCUGUUUUUAUCAAGAUACUCGACAUGGAAAAACUUUGAGUUGGAUUAAAGAAGUGUUUGGGAUUGGCUAUCUAUCCAAACGGAACGAUGGUAUGACCGAACUACGAAUUAACGGUUUCAGACAAGUUGAGAAUAUUCUAACUAGUUUAUUACCUUAUAUUCGAUUUAAAAAACUUCAAGCUCAAGCUUUACAAGAAGCUUGUGAGAUUCUAAUUAAAACAAAGUUUAAAUUGUUAAGUAAGAAGAAAUUAAGAAGAUUAGUAGAUCUAAUUUUGGUCAUUCAGUCUGAAAAUUAUGUGACUAAAAAAAAGAAAAGCCGAUCAGAAUUUCUAACAAUUUUAGGUUUGACCCCGUAACGACUUAUCCUGAAAGAUGGAUAGACUUGGAUAAAUUGGAAAGUUGGCCAAUUUGGCUGACAGAUUUAUUUAGGUAAAAUGCAGCCUUCCUUAAGUAUUUAAGGAAGAAGGUANNNNNNNNNNNNNGGACCGGAAUGAACUGACCUCUGGUCUGAGAGCUGUCGUGCCAACGGCACCGCUCUGUAGCUAAGUCGGGAAAGGAUAACCUCUGAAAGCAUCUAAGAGGGAAACCCACCCUAAGAUUAAUUGUCAUUAUGAGACUCCUAAGAGAUGAUUAGGUUGAUAGGCUCUAGGUGUAAGCUCAGUAAUGAGUUAAGCCGUGGAGUACUAAUUAGUCCAUUCCUAUUAGGAA
rfam:Bacterium CG10_37_50 isolate CG10_37_50 CG10_big_fil_rev_8_21_14_0.10_scaffold_6652, whole genome shotgun sequence.